rnacentral:lncRNA from 1 species
AAUGACAAAAAUAGCCAAAAAAAUAAACACAAAACUAAUGAUUCGGAAAGUAUAUAUAGUAUACAAAAAAAAUUUAACACAGAGCAGUAGUAACGUUCAGAAUGUUGAAGAUACAAACACAAACAUUCAGCAAAAUCCAUAUAAACACAAGUCGAACAAUAGGAUUUAUAAUAAUACAAGUAUAGACGAUAUAAGCGACUCUGACACAGACAAUGAAUAUAAAACUAAACAAAACCGACACCAAUUAACCACACCAAACACAUAUAAAAAAAACGAUAAAAAAAAAAAAAAAAACAAGGACCAAAAAAAUGAAAAAAAAAAUUAUAUAUGUAAAAAAAUGCUCUCAAUUCUACAAUACUGGUUUUCACAAUCGACGAAAAAUAACAAAAAUGAUACUGACAAUAUGAAUAAAUCAAGUAAAAAAAAAAAAAAAAAUCAUUUAAAAAAAAAAAAAAAAAAACCACAACAUGCACAACAUAUACGAAGUGGGUUUAUGCAUGUUCGAAACAGAGAAACGGGGAAUACUACAACGGAGCUUACAACGGAGCUUACAACGGAGCUUACAACUGACGCAACAACGGACGCAACAACUGACGCAACAACUGACCUAACAACUGAUCCAACACAAAACCAAUUACAAAACAACAGUUCGGAUUAUAAUAAAAACUUUAAAUCCGAAAAAAAAAAGAACAAACAAGAAGAAAACUAUUGUUCAACUAUUUACACUAAACAAAUACAACAACAAAAAAAAAAUAACGAAAAUGUAAAAAUAAUAAAAGAAGUUAAAGACGAAUAUGUAAAUACACAAAAUAAAUAUAAAAAAAACGGUUGAACAAAAUUCUCAAUCUAAUGAAUGGUUCCAAAAUAAUACAUGUGAUAGUUCUACUCUUAACAAGUUACAAUUGAAUCAUUCUCUUAAUCUCUCAAUUAAAAAAUGAUUCAAAACAAAAUAGAAUGAAAAUAAUAAGUAGUAUGAUAUAUUAUUUUAGUUUACAUGAGUAUACAUUUAUUGUAUUUAACCACAGGUCAGGUACGUCUUUAAAUACACACCUAGAAAAAGACACUAUACAAAUAUGUAAAAGAUUGUCAAAAUUAGCCAUGUAUAAAAAACAAAAAAUAUUAACAAACUUAAUCAAAAAUCUAAAAUAUUGGCGUAAAAAUCAUUGCAGACAAUGUGAUUAUUGUAAAAGU